CCCAAGUUUACUGAGACUACACAACUAAACUCUAUCAAGAGGAAUUUAGUCCAGAGACGUAGUUGAGAUCAUGAUAUUUAGGGAAUGGUCAACUUCUAAAACCAGCCUUAUUUCUGGAGAUGUAUUCUUCCUGCCUCUGAGAGAUGAGGAUGGUACUGAGCUGGAUGAAAACUGGAGUCUAAAGACCUGUAAGCUCAUGCUUACCUCUGGACAAGCAUUUAUCACCAUGCUGCAUUGGAUUCAGAUGCUGUGAAAAGCAUGAAGGGAACAAAACCCCGUGUGGCAAUGACUGAGUCAUGUCUUACAUCAAGAAGGGUCCAUUGCAGUCAGUAGAUGCAAGAGGACUAGGGGCUGAUAGGGAGGUCCAGUCAUUUGUAAAUAGGAGCUAUUGCGGAGGAGAAA